rnacentral:rRNA from 1 species
GACGAACGCUGGCGGCGUGCUUAACACAUGCAAGUCGAACGGUAAGGCCCUUCGGGGUACACGAGUGGCGAACGGGUGAGUAACACGUGGGUAAUCUGCCCUGCACUUCGGGAUAAGCCUGGGAAACUGGGUCUAAUACCGGAUAGGACCACUGCCUGCAUGGGUGGUGGUGGAAAGCUUUUGCGGUGUGGGAUGGGCCCGCGGCCUAUCAGCUUGUUGGUGGGGUGAUGGCCUACCAAGGCGUCGACGGGUAGCCGGCCUGAGAGGGUGACCGGCCACACUGGGACUGAGAUACGGCCCAGACUCCUACGGGAGGCAGCAGUGGGGAAUAUUGCACAAUGGGCGCAAGCCUGAUGCAGCGACGCCGCGUGAGGGAUGACGGCCUUCGGGUUGUAAACCUCUUUCAGCACCGACGAAGCGCAAGUGACGGUAGGUGCAGAAGAAGGACCGGCCAACUACGUGCCAGCAGCCGCAGUAA